rnacentral:rRNA from 1 species
AAUAGAUACCCAGGUAGUCCACGCCGUAAACGGUGGGCACUAGGUGUGGGCGACAUUCCACGUCGUCCGUGCCGCAGCUAACGCAUUAAGUGCCCCGCCUGGGGAGUACGGCCGCAAGGCUAAAACUCAAAGGAAUUGACGGGGGGCCCGCACAAGCGGCGGAGCAUGUGGCUUAAUUCGACGCAACGCGAAGAACCUUACCAAGGCUUGACAUACACCGGAAACGUCCAGAGAUGGGCGCCCCCUUGUGGUCGGUGUACAGGUGGUGCAUGGCUGUCGUCAGCUCGUGUCGUGAGAUGUUGGGUUAAGUCCCGCAACGAGCGCAACCCUUGUCCCGUGUUGCCAGCAGGCCUUUGUGGUGCUGGGGACUCACGGGAGACCGCCGGGGUCAACUCGGAGGAAGGUGGGACGACGUCAAGUCAUCAUGCCCCUUAUGUCUUGGGCUGCACACGUGCUACAAUGGCCGGUACAAUGAGCUGCGAUACCGCGAGGUGGAGCGAAUCUCAAAAAGCCGGUCUCAGUUCGGAUUGGGGU